UGUGCGUGUGCUUAGCAUGUUGCUGCAUGUGCCGAGGGUUAACCCCUUGCUGCCCGCAGGGAGUUCUCCAAGGAGCGGGAGAAGGCCAAAGCCCGGGGCGACUUCCAGAAGCUGCGGGAGAAGCAGCAGAUGGAGGAAGAUCUCAGGGGCUACUUGGACUGGAUCACGCAGGCCGAAGACAUCGACCCCGACGACGAGGAGGGGGACCCCGAGGACAAGCACGCCCGGGUGACCGUGGAAGACCUGACGGAGAAGAAGAAAGGCCGACUCCGAUGGCUCCGUCACUCCAGCCAUUCCACCGACACCCACACCAGUCUCCCCGCGAGUGA
rnacentral:lncRNA from 1 species